UGGGGUCCUUUACACCCAGUGUAAUAGAAAUGUAACACAGGUUCUAUGCUUCUGGGAGUUGGUACUGUCCGCUCACUGUUCCCUCUGACACAAUGGGUCAUAUGUAAACUGUAGUUGUUGUCUAUAUCAGACAAGUAAUAUAACAGAUAUUUGCCAAAGGGUAAUCUUUGUUCUUUAGUUUAUAACUUUUCUUUCUUUCUGAGGGUACUUCUGAGUAGAAAGGCAGGGCAGUCACCAUGACAACCACAGAGGGUGACACAACAAGCUCUUUUUAUCGUAAUAGAUGCACAAAUACAGCUUAUAACAAAUAUAGUAGGGGGUAAUUGACCAUAACCAUAUUUUUUUGCACAGUUUGUGAUAUAUAAAUAUAUUUUUUUUAAAAAGUCUAUUCGCCUGCUAGUUCAUUGUUUAUUGUUGAAGCGUCAGUCUUGAGUGUUUCAGAAGGGCAGACUUUAAUGUUAGUAUCAAUAAUUAGUCUUUCCUAACUCAAGGCAACAAGCUGGUGGAUCAUUUCCUAAAUCACCUAUUUCCUUUCUAGUGCAGUUGUUUCAGGCUGGGGAUUGGAUGCCAUUUUACGAUAUAGAUGUUUGUGUUUUUUUCUGUCUCAGGCCCAAGUAAAAUGGAUGAAUGUUUUUUCAAACAUAAAUGUUCAUGUUGAAAAUGGUUUGACCCUUGACCCUGGAUGUAGAAUAAUGCCAGCCACAGACACUCUAGUGCCAAAUAUAAGACUGUGUUUUCUAAGGUGUGUGUGUGAGUGCGUGUGGUGUAAACGUGAAGUCGUAACGUUGAAUAGUUGGAUGUCUGAGCGUUACCAAAAACACAUUGGACAGGAAAGGCAUUUUUUAAACAGGUCAACAUCCAGGCCUGGGCUCUGUGUGUGACAGCUGGUCAGUGGCCCAGAGACAGUGUCUCCAUAUUGUCAGUUUUCUGACAAUAUUCAGUUUUAGUCCCAGAAUGCAGAUCUGGACCAUGGAGAGAGAUUAUUCAGUGUCAGGUGGAUCACAUAGUCUUAAAGGAAGGGCAGUGUUUCAGCUGUAUGUGUGGUACAUGUGCCUGUAUACUUUUAAAUAAAAGGUUUACCAACUGAUGGUUGUAGGAAAAAACGUCACGACUCUUUUAGUCAAACAUAUACAUUAGGUAUGUAUGUAUUUACCCUCAUGGAUAUUAGAUAUCCAGUGCCAUAAAUAACUUCAUAAAAUGUUUUAAAAUGUAAAACACAAUAUCCAAUGGUAAUAUAUGUUCUGGCCAUGGAAACCAGACCCUUGUUUUCCACCCAUUCAUUCAGGGUGUAUUUUUGGGUUAUAGUGAUUCCAUCAGUCUUCUAUCUUUGGGAAGUACCUGGCUGUUCUCUUAGAAGUCAGAAUUAGAACCAACAUGAUUCAUCAAGUCAGACGUGUUUCCAAUGUUGGGUUGAUUUAUCUCAUCUUUAUUUUGGGGAGUGGGGGGACUCUUGUUUUUAUUCCAAUCCCAAAUGCAGUAUGUUUCCCAUUUUGUAAUUUCAAUGGAUAUUUUGUAAUGUAGUAUAACAAUUAGCGUAAUGCUUUCCCCUCUCCAGCUGAACAUAAUGUCAAGUUUACCAGAGUCCCUCCAAACUGUGAUAUGUAAAGAUGUGGAUACAGAUGAGUAAUAAUGAGUGUAGUCCUCUGAAAGGGCUGGUUGAACUAAUGGUCCCUGUUCCCUGUAUAGUGGACUACUUUUAGACCAGGUAGUGUAGUCCUCUGAAAGGGCUGGUUGAACUAAUGGUCCCUGUUCCCUGUAUAGUGGACUACUUUUAGACCAGGUAGUGUAGUCCUCUGAAAGGGCUGGUUGAACUAAUGGUCCCUGUUCCCUGUAUAGUGGACUACUUUUAGACCAGGUAGUGUAGUCCUCUGAAAGGGCUGGUUGAACUAAUGGUCCCUGUUCCCUGUAUAGUGGACUACUUUUAGACCAGGUAGUGUAGUCCUCUGAAAGGGCUGGUUGAACUAAUGGUCCCUGUUCCCUGUAUAGUGGACUACUUUUAGACCAGGUAGUGUAGUCCUCUGAAAGGGCUGGUUGAACUAAUGGUCCCUGUUCCCUGUAUAGUGGACUACUUUUAGACCAGGUAGUGUAGUCCUCUGAAAGGGCUGGUUGAACUAAUGGUCCCUGUUCCCUGUAUAGUGGACUACUUUUAGACCAGGUAGUGUAGUCCUCUUAAAGGGCUGGUUGAACUAAUGGUCCCUGUUCCCUGUAUAGUGGACUACUUUUAGACCAGGUAGUGUAGUCCUCUGAAAGGGCUGGUUGAACUAAUGGUCCCUGUUCCCUGUAUAGUGGACUACUUUUAGACCAGGUAGUGUAGUCCUCUGAAAGGGCUGGUUGAACUAAUGGUCCCUGUUCCCUGUAUAGUGGACUACUUUUAGACCAGGUAGUGUAGUCCUCUGAAAGGGCUGGUUGAACUAAUGGUCCCUGUUCCCUGUAUAGUGGACUAUAGACCAGGUAGUGUAGUCCUCUGAAAGGGCUGGUUGAACUAAUGGUCCCUGUUCCCUGUAUAGUGGACUAUAGACCAGGUAGUGUAGUCCUCUGAAAGGGCUGGUUGAACUAAUGGUCCCUGUUCCCUGUAUAGUGGACUACAUUAGACCAGGUAGUGUAGUAUACAUGUAAUAGGGGACCAUUUGGGAAACUCACCAAUGUUGUUUUAUUGACACCAAAGUGUCAGGGUUUUCAGGGUGAAAUGUUACAGAUGAACAGGGCCUUGAUUGAUCCAUUAUUGACCGUUUAACUCAGAAAGUAUGUUCUAGGCUCAAAGUUUCUUAACGUGACCCUACUGAAGUACAUACAAUCCCUCUAAUCUUCUAUAUGAGCAAGUACUUAAUGUAGUGUUGACUGCCCUCUUGGUCUCAUGCUGUUGGUUAAUUCUCUUUGACAGGUGGUUCACUAUGAUUUAAUCUAUCCCCUUGUAUUUAGUAUUGUGCCUCCAUGUUUUUGUGUUUAUGAUUCACUCACAUAUACAGCAAAAUUGCAGAAUGGCUGGUAACCUUCCUGGUUUGUUUUCUGGGUCUUUGGGAAACCUGGAAAGUCUUAAUGAGGAAGUUACCAGCCUCUUGCAACCGUGCUUAACAUUGUUGUUUGUGUUUUCUAACAGCAACCACCACUGUAGUUUGCCUUCCUGAUACACACAAUGUUUGUUCAACACAGCAGAUUCACCAAUCCACAGCUGAGACAUCCACUGUAGUUUGUCUUCCUGAUACACACAAUGUUUGUUCAACACAGCAGAUUCACCAAUCCACAGCUGAGACAUCCACUGUAGGUUUCCCUUUGAUAAUAUAUGAUCAGGGCUUUAUUAAACCACCAUUUCCAGUCCUCACGCUUCAGAUGUUGCUGUUUUUAUUUUAUUUGUCCUGCCACUUUAUCUAGUAAUGUCACUAAUGCACUUUCUUUUUUAAAUACAAAUAUCUGUGAUUUUAAAAGGUCUAGUCAUGAGGAGCCUAUCUGAGAACAGGGUGAAUCUGUUACCAUGCAGCUUGGACCCAUACAUUUUUACAGAUCUAAUCCAGUUAAUAGAGAAAAGGGGCCCAGGUUGUAUUUGGGAUUGUACAUAGUGAACUACUUUUAGCCCAAUGACCCUUAUCUAAAGUAGUACGCUAUGAAGAGAAUAGGGUGUCAAUUAACAGGAAACCUGUCAGCCAUGGAGCUGUUGGUUUGACCCAGGACCAUUUUAAUAUUGUGUUUAUUAUUAUUAUUAUUAUUAUUAUCAGGACUAUACAAGGUUUGAUUUGCUGGUUGUUUUCUCAAAAAUAAAUUCCUUUUGGUAUAGGUUAUCCUAAAGGCAGGUCGAGCAAUAAAUAAUACAUUCUUAC